AGCGAACGCUGGCGGCAGGCUUAACACAUGCAAGUCGAACGCCCGGGCAACCGGGAGUGGCAGACGGGUGAGUAACGCGUGGGAACAUGCCCUUUGGUUCGGAAUAACUCAGGGAAACUUGAGCUAAUACCGGAUAAGCCCUUAUGGGGAAAGAUUUAUCGCCGAAGGAUUGGCCCGCGUCCGAUUAGCUAGUUGGUGAGGUAAUGGCUCACCAAGGCGACGAUCGGUAGCUGGUCUGAGAGGAUGAUCAGCCACACUGGGACUGAGACACGGCCCAGACUCCUACGGGAGGCAGCAGUGGGGAAUAUUGGACAAUGGGCGCAAGCCUGAUCCAGCCAUGCCGCGUGAGUGAUGAAGGCCUUAGGGUUGUAAAGCUCUUUCGGCGGGGACGAUAAUGACGGUACCCGCAGAAGAAGCCCCGGCUAACUUCGUGCCAGCAGCCGCCGUAAAAC
rnacentral:rRNA from 1 species